rnacentral:hammerhead_ribozyme from 1 species
CUGUUGCUGAAGAGUCCCCAAAUAGGACGAAACAGCUGUCCACUAC